GAUCGGUCCAGAGUGACAGGAGAGCUCCUAGGGAGCUGAUGUCUUUUGGAUGUGGGCAGAUGGCAGGAAUUGAAGAAAGAAGAAUUUAAACGCUGGUUGAUCCAGAGCUCAGAGACCUGGCAUUGCCACGAAGGAAGGCACGGCACAAUCAGAAGUGCCUGGGGAAGCCAGAAGAGGGUGUUGGAUCUCCUGGGACUUGAAAGAGAGGCAGCUGAUGUGGGUGCCUGAAAUAGACUAUGGGUCUGGAAGAAGCUGCUGAGUCAUUGCUCUGUGACUGAAUCUAUAUACAAGAGAUCCAAUGAUACACAGACUCUCCAACCUCAACAUGUUCAAAGAGAGUGGAGGAAAGGGCACAAAACAGAAUCUCUCUGGCUGUUCUUUAUGUUGGCCUCCUGACCAGGACUGAAUGGCUCAGGGGUGAGGAGGACUGGAGUUCAAUUCCCAAAACCCAUGGAGCAUCUGCCUGUACUUCCAGUUUCAGGGGACCUGAUGGCAUCUUUUGGACCCUAUAGGAAUCUGAACUCAUAUAUACAACCUCAUCCCCCACACAUGUACACAUAAUUAAAAAAAAAAAAAAAGAAGAAUCACUAAAGAGGCAAGAUGUGAAGGUAAGAGUAAUAACGAAGAGCCAAUUUCACAUAUUUCUUUGUUGGAGUGCUGGAUGAGCAAAACCAACGACAAAGUGAGAAAGAAUGAGGUGAACAGGAACCCUGGAACAGUGUGCCGGAACACAAAGCCCGGCUUCCCUUUUCCGCUGACCAUGAAGCUGUUUCCCGCUGGGAAAUGGACAUUGCACAUUUUGCUUUGAUUUAGCUGAGAGCCUCGCUAAAAUGCCAUGCUUUAAGAAUAGCUAAAAAUAGGUAAGAAUCUAAUCUCUUUCAAAGCCACAUUUGUUUCUUUAACAGCACGUGUCAGAGAGGAAAGGGUCCAUAAACAAAAGGUAGAUGUCCAGUAGCUAAAAUAAGCUGCCGUUUCCUUCCACCGCACACCCUCAGUAUGGCCGCUCUGCUGUUUCCACCAAGGAACUUCCUCUGUGGCCUGUUUUCCCAGGCUCUGCAGUGGAAGGGAGCCGCCCAGGUUCUUAGGGAUGUUUAUGUUGGAAAAGCGCCCGUCUUCCACCAUGCAGCUGAACACAAUGCUGUCUGCCCUCACUUUCUCCAUCGCCAGAGAACAUCGAUGGGAGCCUCCCAAACACUAUAGAUAUCUCUGCACUUCCACUGACCCAACACUUUUUACAAAGCUGUUCCAGGUUGCCAUAAAUGUUGUGUUAUAUUUUCAUAUUAUAGAUAUAAAUGGAGCCAUCACAAGGCUGUCUGUACAGAAAUCUGUCACAAGUCUAGAUAAUUACUUUUGUGCUAGUUUGGCUCAUUUACUAAAAGUCAGGCACACUUAAUAUGUGGAACAUUUACAACUUAGUGACACUUCUUUGUAGAAUAUGAACUCAGUGAUAGUAUGGCUAGGCCCAAAGAAUUACUUAUUUUUAUUCUCCAUUCCUGUCAAGGUUUGUGACGUUUCAUAGCAUUCUGUAUGAGUACAUAAACAGAGUUGGAAAUUGUGUGGAGUCAAUAAGUAAAUAAAAUCAGCAGCUCAGAACCACAGAACCUUUAAGCUACAUUGCUAGAUAUAUUGCUAGAUAUAUUUCUUAUGUUUUUGGCUAUACAUACAGUAAUAGGUUUAGAAUGUUAUGCUUCUAAAUAUGCUUCUAAAGGUGUUUUUGUACACAUCCAAACACUUAGUUUCAUUUCUUUAAUGCCUUUGAUCUUUUGUUAGUUUUCAUUAUAUGUAUAUAUUUAAAUAUUCCAAUAAAAAUAAUUUU
ensembl:antisense predicted gene 12002